UGAGAGGAAGAAAUUUUGGUUUUGGGGGGGGGGGGGUGGUUUGAAAUCAACACAUACACACGACCUAUAUAAACAACAUUCCGAAACCAUAACAUAUGAUUCAUUUAUGUCUUCAAUCUUUCUCUCUUCUCCACAGAAUCAUCUCUUUCUAAAUUGAGUCAUAUACUUGCCCACAAGCUACUAAAGAGGAAAACAAAACAAAAUAAAAAGGAUUUUCUCAGGUAAUCAACUAAAACUCUCUUGCUUUUUCUAUUUUAAUUCUCUGAAAUUACAGUUUAUGUGAUUUUAAUGGAACCAUUUUUAUGCAGAGAAAUAAUGCAAGCAAUGAACCAGUUC
rnacentral:lncRNA from 1 species